rnacentral:rRNA from 1 species
GAUACCCUGUUAUUUAAAGAUUAAUAAAAAAUAAUAGAGUAGUAAUAGUUAUAUUCUAAAAACUUAAUAAAUUUGGCGGUAUUUUAAUCUAAUCAGAGGAACUUGUUUUAUAAUUGAUAAUCCCCAAUUUAUCUUACUUAAUUUUGUUUAAUUUGUAUAUCGUCGUCAUAAGAAUAUCUUAAAAAAGGAAUAAUUUUCUAAAAUUUUUAUUAAAAAUUAUGUCAGAUCAAGGUGCAGUUUAUAGUUAAGAAAAAAUGAGUUACAAUAAAUUUAUUUAUAUGGAUAUAAAGGUUAAAUUUUUAUUAAAAGUGGAUUUGAUAGUAAAAUAAUUUAUAUAAAUUAUUUGAAUUUAGUUCUAAAAUAUGUACAAAUCGCCCG